GUAUCUGAAAUCUGACGAGGAUGAGAACCUCCGGGGGCAAGAGGUUCGACCCGAGCGAAGCGAGAGAACGUUGCGUCAGCAACGGCCCGCAGUGGCAAGUCAUCCUCUGUCACCGGCAG
rnacentral:sRNA from 1 species